rnacentral:rRNA from 1 species
GAACGCGAAGAACCUUACCCGGGCUUGAACUAAGAGUGACUUAUCUAGAGAUAGAUUUUUCUUCGGACACUCUUGGAGGUGCUGCAUGGUUGUCGUCAGCUCGUGCCGUGAGGUGUCGGCUUAAGUGCCAUAACGAGCGCAACCCUUUUCCUUGGUUGCCAUCAGGUAAUGCUGGGCACUUUCAGGGAUACUGCCAUCGUAAGAUGUGAGGAAGGUGGGGAUGACGUCAAAUCAGCACGGCCCUUACGUCCGGGGCUACACACGUGUUACAAUGGGGGGUACAGAAGGUCGCUACCUGGUGACAGGAUGCUAAUCUCAAAAACCUCUCUCAGUUCGGAUUGGAGUCUGCAACCCGACUCCAUGAAGCUGGAUUCGCUAGUAAUCGCGCAUCAGCCAUGGCGCGGUGAAUACGUUCCCGGGUCUUGUACACACC